rnacentral:rRNA from 1 species
CCCUUAGAUGCUCUGGGCCGCACGCGCGCUACACUGGUCGAUGCAACGAGUUUCUUUCCUUGGCCGACAGGCCUGGGCAAUCUUUGAACAUCGAUCGUGAUCGGGAUAGAUUCUUGUAAUUUUUGAUCUUAAACGAGGAAUUCCUAGUAAACGCAAGUCAUCAGCUUGCAUUGAUUACGUCCCUGCCCUUUGUACACACCGCCCGUCGCACCUACCGAUUGAAUGGUCCGGUGAAAUCUCCGGACUGGCGUGAGUCGGAGCAAUCUGACAAACACCGGAAAGUUGAUUAAGCCUUACCAUUUAGAGGAAGGUGAAGUCGUANUA